AGAGAGAGAAACAGUGAAGUUGAAAAUGUGGAAAAUAUCUUCUUGUCUUUGUUCUAGAGUCUUCUGCAGUAUUUAUAUUUACAAAACAAUAUUACAAGUAAAUGAGAAGUAAUAAAUGUGUAUGAAAACUAUUUGGGCCAAGUCUUAUUAUUAGUUGGGUCGUCCGAAUAAGCAACAUUAUUGUGUGGCCCGGAUAUCCUAACACCCCCAUCAAGCUGGAGGGUGUGAAGACUCCAAGCAUGGGAAGGCAGCAGCGGUGAGCAGGUCCAGGCAGAGAUUUGGUUAAAAUAUCUGCUAACUGAUUUGCACUGACAACAUAGUGAAAAGAAAUUAGGUUAGAAUGAAGGCAGUCACGAACGUAAUGACAAUCAAUUUCAAUAUGCUUCAUGCGUUCAUGAAAAACAGGAUUCUUCAUGAUACUCAAAGCAGCUUGACUAUCGCAAUAUAUAGGAACAAGAUCAGAGACAAUAACACCAAAAUCACAUAGUAGGCGAAUAAGCCAAAUAACCUCAGCGACAAUCUUACGAAGAGCCUGAUACUCAGCCUCAGUAGAUGAGAGUGAAAUGGUAGGCUACUUCUUACUUUUUCAAGAAAUAGGACUACCACCCAGAGUGAUAAAGAAACCAGUAACAAAGCGACGAGUGUCACGACAGGUAGCCCAAUCAGAAUCAGAAUAUCCCAUCAAUGAAAAAUCAGAAGCAUUGGAUAACAAAAUACCCUGUGUCGGAUUGUUCAUGAGAUAACGUAACACAUGAAUGGUAGCUAACAUAUGAGGAACCUAUGGAUGUUGUAAAAAUUGACUUAAGUGUUGGACAGAAAAGAAUAUGUCAGGCCCUGUAUGUUGUAAGAAAUUGAGUUUGCCAACCAAAUGCCUAUAGGAGCUGGGAUCAGUCAAAGAAAAACCCAUGUCUGUAACAAGUUUGCUGGAACAGUCCAAAGGAGUACUCACAGGAGAAAACUGAUAACAAUUAUAUUCAUGAAGUAAGUCAAGAGUAAACUUAUGUUGACUGACAAUAUAACCCUGUGCAUAUUUGAAGACUUUCAAGCCAAGGAAGUAAUGGAUAGCACCAAGAUCCUUGAUUUUAAAUUGACCAUCAAGAAAAAUCUUUAAAUAUUCUAAUCCAGCUAAAUCAUCCGAAUCCAACAAUAUAUCAUCAACAUAAAUAGCCAAUACAAUCUGCGAACUGGAAGGACUUUUUGUAAAUAAUGAAUAAUUAUUCUUACUAGAGGUAUAGCCAUGAGAAAUAAGAUCUGUGGACAGUUUAAAAAACCAUUGACGAGAUGCUUGACGAAGACCAUAAAGAGAUUUCUUAAGGAGGCAUACCAAAGGGACAUCAGAAGAAGAAGUAACUUCAAGACCAAGAGGUAAUUUCAUAUAAACCUCCUCAAGAAGAUCACCAUGAAGAAAAGUAUUAUUAACAUCUAACUGAAACAAUGUCCAUACCUUCUUAGAAGCAAUAGUAAGGAGACAUUUAAUAGUAGUUAGCUUAACUACAGGGGAAAAAGUUUAGUAAAAUCGACUCCCUCCUUUUGAGUAUCACCACGAAUAACCAAAUGAGCUUUAUAUCGCUCAAUGGAUCCAUCAAAUCACUGUUUGAUCUUGUAAACCCAUUUGCAAGAAAUGACUUUCUUAUGAGGAGGGAGUGGGACUAUGUCCCAAGUAUUAUUAGCCUUUAGGGCCUGAAACUCCUUGACCAUAGCUUCCUGCCAAUCCAGAUGGCUAGCAGUCUGAUGGUAAAAUUGUGGUUCAUGAUUGUGAAGCUCAACAUGUGAGAUCUUGAAUGUAGUAGAUUCAAGGAAUGCAUGAUGGGAAGAUGAACAAACAUAAUCUUUAAGAUAAAAAGGUUUAUGACUCUGUCGAGUAGAAUGUCUAGAAGUUAAAAUAUGGGAAGCAACGAUGGGUGAAGUAGAGACAGAAGAAGGAGGAGGAACAGCUAAAAGAGCAGAAUUAGGAGCAAAAACUAGAGAAAAAGGCACUGAAUUAGUAGAACUGGGAGAAAUAAAAGAAUGGGGAGUUGAUGGGGAGUCUUCAGAGAAGGUAGAAUAAGAAAGUGGAAAUAAAAAAGGGGUAGAGGAAGGGUAAGAUAAGAUGUGUUUAUGGAAUACUAUAUCCCGAGAAUAGAAAAUCAAAUCAGUGGACAAAUUCAAUAGUUUGUAACCUUUCUUGCCAAACGGAUACCCCAAAAAUAUAGAAGAAAUUUCCCUUGAUUGAAACUUGUUUCAACUAAUUUUAGGUGAGGUAGCAAAGCACAAACAACGAAAUGAUCUCAAAUGGUCAUAAGAAGGAGGGGACUGAUGUAAUUUCUCAAAAAGUGAUAUAUUAUGUAGUAAAGGAGAAAGAAAUCUGUUAAUCAAGUAUGUGACUGUUAAGACACAGUCACCCCAAUACUUCAAGGGUAACUUAGAUUGAAAAAGUAAGGAUCUUGAAGUUUCAAGAAGAUGCUUAUAUUUUCUUUCCACUACACCAUUUUGUUGAGGCAUAUGCGGAAUGGAAGUUUGAUGCAAUAUACCAUUUUUAGCCAAGUAUUUAGAUGCUUCAUGACUGCCCCCCAACUCAAAAGCAUUAUCGAACUUAAGAAUUUGGAUGUGUGUUUUAAAAUAGAUCUUAACCAUGAAAAUAAAUGCCUUUAAAAUGGAGAAAGUAUUAGCCUUGGAAGAUAGAAGAUGGGUCCAAGUGGCUCUAGUAUAAUCGUCCACUAAGGUAAUAAAAUAUCUAUAAUCAUUGUAAGUGGCAGUAUUAUAGGAGCCCCAAGUGUCAACAUGAACCAAUUAAAAUGGUUUAGUAGAAUAAAUGGAGCUAUCUGGGAAGGACAGUCUUUCUUACCUAGCCAUAGGAAAUAUGGUGCACAAGAAAGAUUAUUUGGAAGACAAUUUACUAGAUAAAUGUGGGAUGGAGUGCAUUCUAUGAAACGACAUGUGGCCAAGUAUUUGAUGCCAAAACAAAUCAUUUUUAUUAAUAGAAGAUGGCAAAUUACAAGGGGUAAUAGAAAAAACAGUAUCAAAAUUAGAAGUAUUACAAGUAAAGGAACUAGCAGAAUUAGGUAAAGGUACAGUAAUAGACUCAGAUGGAAAAAUAUUAGCAGGAGCAGAUGUAGUAACAGAAAUAGUAGGCGGGAGUGAUGAUGUUUCAGCGGAGGGAUCUAGAGAUGUAUUUGGGGAGGAUAAGUUCUCUUGGCUGAGGAAAUAUAAACCUCUUGCAGCUUUACCAAAUUCCAAUGGCCUCUUCAGAGAAGGGGCCUGUAAGAAAUAAUUUAUUUUGGUAAAGAUUAUAUAACAGUCAAAUUGAUCAAUGAGUUGAAAGAUGGAAAUUAAAUUGAAUUGAAAUGAAGGAAUAAGUAACACAUUAUGUAGAAUCAUAUCAGACCUAAGAAAUAAAGAACCAGUGGAGAUAACCCUAACUUGUAUCCAUUGGGAAGAGUAAUAAGAAAAGAAAUGGGAAUUGGUUGAAGAUUAUGUAGUAAAUGUUUGUGAGGAGUCAUGUGGUUAGUUUCUCCAGAAUCUAAAAUCCAAGAAUGCAUACCUAAUUAGGAACUCGCACACAUAUGAAAACCAACAGAAUUUUCCACAGGGCUACUAAAAACACUAUUAAUACAUACCUGCAAAAUUUGCAAAACCAAAAAAUUUUACAUCUGGUUGUUCAGACAAGUGAUUAUGUUCGAAUGAAGCUAUCAGUUGUGGAUAAGUAUCACUGUGAGACCCAUAAGAAGGAAGAAUAUGGGAGGAAGAGUUGUUCUUUGUAGAAUUAGAAGAAGACAGAUCAGUUUGCACACAUGCUGCAGAUUUCGUACCUUUGUUGAACUGAUAAUCUGCAGGGUAACUAUGUAGUUUGUGACAUUUGCUCAUGAUAUGUCCUAAGUUUUUGCAAUAUCUACAAAUCAAGGUAUUGGUGGGUGGCUGCUUGGACUCAAAAUUAAUCCUUUGGGGAUAAGUCCUACCACCUCCAUGAGACAUAGGGAGAAAAUGCCCGGGAGGUGAAUAUGAAGGCCCAGAAGAAUCAUAAUAAAUCCCUUUCUGAGAAUAAGGCCUUUCUUAAAACUCAAAAUAGACCCUGAAAGAGUAAUAUUUACCAACAUUUUGAGAAGUUCCCUGAGAUUCUCUUAAAGUUGUCAUUAUAUCUAGAUGAGGCAUAGAAGAACAUGGAUUCAGUGAUUAGAUUAGAAGGAAUGGAAUUUUGCUUUUGCUUUUCAUCAUGAUGAACCAUGGAAUAAGCCUUACUAAGGCUGGGAAGUAGAUUCAUCAUGAGAAUGUUACUUUUGCAAGUAGAGUAGGGUUCAUUUAAUCCACUAAGAAACUGGAACAAUUUUUGUUCCUCAAGAAAUUUGGGUAAAGCACCACAGGUGCAAGUGGGACCUACAUAUGUUGUGUUUAGCUCAUCCCAAAGUCCCCUAAGUUAUGUAAAAUACGUAGCUAUAUCUGAAGAACCCUGAGUGGUGGAAACUAGUUCACGUUGAAUUUGAAUAUAUUUGGACCCAUUAGAUUGUCCAAAUCGUUCAUUUAGAUCCUCCCAAAUCUCUUGUGCAGUAUUAAAAUCAAUAACACUCAUAGCAACAUUCCUAGAUAAUGAGUUAGUUAUCCAAGCUAUAACCAUAUCAUUACAUCUUUCCCAAUAUUGAUAGUAAGGAGACUCAGGUACAGGCCUAGGAUUUCUACCAGUGAUAAGGCCUAGUUUAUUCUUAGCUGAAAGUGAAAUCAACAUACUUUUCCGCCAGCUAACAAAAUCAGUUCCAUCAAAUGGUGAAACAGUAAGUUGGAUACCAGGACUGUCAGCUAAAUGUAUAUAAAACGGAUGACAUUGAUAAAUAGUGAAGGGAGUAAACCCUUCAGUAGAGGUAGGAGCAUUAUGAACAAAAAUAGACGAAUUGCCACUCAUAAUUCCAUAAGGAAUUCAAUAAAUCAGUAGAUUUGAGACCUAUGUUAGCGAAGGAAAGGUGUUACCGUUCUUCUUCCAAAACCUGAAGAAGACUAGGUCUUGCUCAACAAUGGGAUCCGUCAAAUUCCCCUCGAGAACGACACGAAUCGCAAGAAUAUUAAUUCGCCGCAACAAAUACAACAAGUGUAUGUCAAAUUCCCCUCGAGAGCGGCACAAAUCACACUAUUACUGGUUCUCCGCAAAAAAUACAACCACCACAACAACAUAAAGAAAAUAGUCCAACUAAUCCAUCAUUGUAUACAACCGCCAAAAGAAACUCUAGCGAAGUGAAAUUCCAGCGAUGUGAAAUGAAAAUUUCAACUCAAAUCCUCAAAAAAAUCAAUGAUAGAGGAGAGGAAAUGAUUGGAGGGUAAUACCGAUCGAAAGAGAAGAUGAAAUCGAGUUAAACACCUACUUUGAUACCAUGUUAAUCAAUAAAAUCAUCCGAAAUCGAACAAGAUAAAGAAGAUGAUAACCGAACUAGAGAGAGAAACAACGAAAUUGAAAAUGUGGAAAAUAUCUUCUUGUCUUUGUUCUAGAGUCUUCUGCAAUAUUUAUAUUUACAACAACAAUAUUACAAGCAAAUGAGAAGUAAUAAAUGUGUGUGAAAACUAUUU
rnacentral:lncRNA from 1 species